UACAGAGGGUGCAAGCGUUAAUCGGAUUUACUGGGCGUAAAGGGCGCGUAGGUGGUUAUUUAAGUGAGAUGUGAAAUCCCCGGGCUUAACCUGGGAACUGCAUCUUAUACUGGGUAACUGGAGUGCAAUAGAGGGUAGUGGAAUUUCCGGUGUAGCGGUAAAAUGCGUAGAUAUCGGAAGGAACACCAGUGGCGAAGGCGGCUACCUGGAUUGACACUGACACUGAGGCGCGAGAGCGUGGGGAGCAAACAGG
rnacentral:rRNA from 1 species